UACGUAGGGUGCAAGCGUUGUCCGGAAUUAUUGGGCGAAAGAGCUCGUAGGCGGUUUUGUUGCGUCGGCUGUGAAAUCCCCGAGGCUCAACCUCGGGGUCUGCAGUCGAUACGAGCAAAACUAGAGUGUUGCAGGGGAGACUGGAAUUCCUGGUGUAGCGGUGAAAUGCGCAGAUAUCAGGAGGAACACCGGUGGCGAAGGCGGGUCUCUGGGCAACAACUGAC
rnacentral:rRNA from 1 species